rnacentral:rRNA from 1 species
AUGAACGCUGGCGGCGUGCCUAAUACCUGCCAGUCGAGCGCACAGAUGAGGAGCUUGCUCCUCUGACGUUAGCGGCGGACGGGUGAGUAACACGUGGAUAACCUACCUAUAAGACUGGGAUAACUACGGGAAACCGGAGCUAAUACCGGAUAAUAUAUUGAACCGCAUGGUUCAAUAGUGAAAGACGGUUUUGCUGUCACUUAUAGUUGGAUCCGCGCCGCAUUAGCUAGUUGGUAAGGUAACGGCUUACCAAGGCAACGAUGCGUAGCCGACCUGAGAGGGUGAUCGGCCACACUGGAACUGAGACACGGUCCAGACUCCUACGGGAGGCAGCAGUAGGGAAUCUUCCGCAAUGGGCGAAAGCCUGACGGAGCAACGCCGCGUGAGUGAUGAAGGUCUUCGGAUCGUAAAACUCUGUUAUUAGGGAAGAACAAAUGUGUAAGUAACUAUGCACGUCUUGACGGUACCUAAUCAGAAAGCCACGGCUAACUACGUG